rnacentral:pre_miRNA from 1 species
UAGCAGCACGUAAAUAUUGGCGUGGCAAUAAUCGCCAAUAUUACUUGUGCUGCUGCA